GGGAUGCCUUACCAUGCNAGUCGAACGGCAGCACGGACUUCGGUCUGGUGGCGAGUGGCGAACGGGUGAGUAAUGUAUCGGAACGUGCCCAGUAGCGGGGGAUAACUACGCGAAAGCGUAGCUAAUACCGCAUACGCCCUACGGGGGAAAGCAGGGGAUCGCAAGACCUUGCACUAUUGGAGCGGCCGAUAUCGGAUUAGCUAGUUGGUGGGGUAACGGCUCACCAAGGCGACGAUCCGUAGCUGGUUUGAGAGGACGACCAGCCACACUGGGACUGAGACACGGCCCAGACUCCUACGGGAGGCAGCAGUGGGGAAUUUUGGACAAUGGGGGAAACCCUGAUCCAGCCAUCCCGCGUGUGCGAUGAAGGCCUUCGGGUUGUAAAGCACUUUUGGCAGGAAAGAAACGUCGCGGGUUAAUACCCCGCGAAACUGACGGUACCUGCAGAAUAAGCACCGGCUAACUACGUGCCAGCAGCCGCGGUAAU
rnacentral:rRNA from 1 species